AACUUUUAACAACGGAUCUCUUGGCUCUCGCAUCGAUGAAGAACGCAGCGAAAUGCGAUAAGUAAUGUGAAUUGCAGAAUUCAGUGAAUCAUCGAAUCUUUGAACGCACCUUGCGCUCUCUGGUAUUCCGGGGAGCACACCUGUUCGAGUGUCAUU
rnacentral:rRNA from 4 species